GGGCCCGCACAAGCGGAGGAACAUGUGGUUUAAUUCGAUGAUACGCGAGGAACCUUACCCGGGCUCAAACGGAAGAGGAGCGUGCGUGAAAGCGUGCGGUCCGCAAGGACCUCUUCCGAGGUGCUGCAUGGUUGUCGUCAGCUCGUGCCGUGAGGUGUCGGCUUAAGUGCCAUAACGAGCGCAACCCCCAUUUCCAGUUGCAAACGCGCUAAGGCGUGCACUCUGGAGAGACUGCCGGCGCAAGCUGAGAGGAAGGCGGGGAUGACGUCAAAUCAGCACGGCCCUUACGUCCGGGGCGACACACGUGUUACAAUGGCGGAGAACAGAGGGAAGCCAGGCGGCGACGUCCGGCAAAUCCGAAAAAUCCGUCUCAGUUCGGAUUGGAGUCUGCAACCCGACUCCAUGAAGCUGGAUUCGCUAGUAAUCGCGCAUCAGCCAUGGCGCGGUGAAUACGUUCCCGGGCCUU
rnacentral:rRNA from 1 species